GAUGAACGCUGGCGGCGUGCCUAAUACAUGCAAGUCGAGCGAACAGACGAGGAUCUUGCUCCUCUGACGUUAGCGGCGGACGGGUGAGUAACACGUGUAUAACCUACCUAUAAUACUGGGAUAACUUCGGGAAACCGGCGCUAAUACCGGAUAAUAUCUUGAACCGCAUUGUUCAAUAGUGAAAUACGGUUUUUCUGUCUCUUAUAGAUGGAUCCGCGCCGCAUUAGCUAGUUGUUAAGGUAACAGCUUACCACGGCAACGAUGCGUAGACGACCGGAGAGGGUGAUCGGCGACACUGGAACUGAGACACGGUCCAGACUCCUACGAGACGCAGCAGUAGGGAACGUUACGCAAUGGGCGAAAGCCUGACGGAGCAAGGCCGCGUCAGAGAUGAAGGUCCUCGGAUCGUAAAACUCUGUUAUGAGGGAAGAACAAAUGUGUAAGGAAAUAUGCACGUAUUGACGGUACCUAAUCAGAAAGCAACGGCUAACUACGUG
rnacentral:rRNA from 1 species